rnacentral:rRNA from 1 species
CGAACGCUGGCGGCGCGUUUAAGCAUGCAAGUCGAGCGGCAAGGGCCUUCGGGCCCCUAGAGCGGCGGACGGGUGAGUAACACGUGGACAAUCUGCCCCCCGGCCCGGGAUAGCCCGGGGGAAACCUGGAUUAAUGCCGGAUGAGACGGGACCCGCGAAGGCGGGACCCGGGAAAGGCGCUGCGGCGCCGCCGGGGGAUGAGUCUGCGUCCCAUUAGCUAGACGGCGGGGUAACGGCCCACCGUGGCGACGAUGGGUAGCCGGCCUGAGAGGGUGGACGGCCACAUUGGAACUGAGACACGGUCCAGACUCCUACGGGAGGCAGCAGCUAAGAAUCUUCCGCAAUGGGCGAAAGCCUGACGGAGCGACGCCCGCGUGAACGAAGAAGGCCGUGAGGUUGUAAAGUUCUUUUCGGGAGGGGGAACAACCGUGGCAGGGAAUGGCCGCGGGAUGACGUGAAUCCCGGAAUAAGCCCCGGCUAACUACGUGCCAGCCGCUGC